UACGGAGGAUGCAAGCGUUCUCCGGAUUUAUUGGGUUUAAAGGGUGCGUAGGCGGCCUUUUAAGCGUGAGGUGAAAUGCCACGGCUCAACCGUGGAACUGCCUCGCGAACUGGAGGGCUCGAAUGUCCGUGCCGUGGGAGGAAUGUGUGGUGUAGCGGUGAAAUGCAUAGAGAUCACACAGAACACCGAUUGCGAAGGCAUCUCACGAACGGAUGAUUGACGCUGAGGCGCGAAAGCGUGGGGAU
rnacentral:rRNA from 1 species